UACAGAGGUCUCAAGCGUUGUUCGGAAUCACUGGGCGUAAAGGGUGCGUAGGCUGCGGAGAAAGUCUGGUGUGAAAUUUGCGAGCUCAACUCGCAACUAGCACCUGAUACUACUUUGCUAGAGAUCCGGAGAGGAGCUUGGAAUUCUCGGUGUAGCAGUGAAAUGCGUAGAUUUCGAGAAGAACGCUCGCUGCGAAAGCGAAGCUCUGGCCAGAUUCUGACGCUGAGGCACGAAGGCUAGGGGAGCAAACGGG
rnacentral:rRNA from 1 species